ACCUGGUUGAUCCUGCCAGUAGUCAUAUGCUUGUCUCAAAGAUUAAGCCAUGCAUGUCUAAGUAAAAACUAAAUUAUGGCGAAACUGCAAAUGGCUCAUUACAACGGUUAUGAUGUACCCGGGAUCUCCGAUGGAUAUUUCCAGUAACACUAGAGCUAAUACAUGUAACUGCGUUUAUUAGUUUCAAACAAAUCUGUCGCUGAGUCAUGGUAAACAGUUGAUCGCUUCGACGCCCGGAACAGUUUCCGCCCCAUCAGCUUCGAUGGUUGGGUAUUGGCCUACCAUUGCAUCAACGGGUAACGAGGAAUUAGGGUUUGAUUUCGGAGAGGGAGCCAGAGAAACGGCAACCACAUCUACGGAUGGCCA
rnacentral:rRNA from 1 species